ACGGGUGAGUAAUGUCUGGGGAUCUGCCCGAUAGAGGGGGAUAACCACUGGAAACGGUGGCUAAUACCGCAUGACGUCGCAAGACCAAAGAGGGGGACCUUCGGGCCUCUCACUAUCGGAUGAACCCAGAUGGGAUUAGCUAGUAGGCGGGGUAAUGGCCCACCUAGGCGACGAUCCCUAGCUGGUCUGAGAGGAUGACCAGCCACACUGGAACUGAGACACGGUCCAGACUCCUACGGGAGGCAGCAGUGGGGAAUAUUGCACAAUGGGCGCAAGCCUGAUGCAGCCAUGCCGCGUGUAUGAAGAAGGCCUUCGGGUUGUAAAGUACUUUCAGCGGGGAGGAAGGCAGUGAGGUUAAUAACCUUACUGAUUGACGUUACCCGCAGAAGAAGCACCGGCUAACUCCGUGCCAGCAGCCGCGGUAAUACGGAGGGUGCAAGCGUUAAUCGGAAUUACUGGGCGUAAAGCGCACGCAGGCGGUCUGUUAAGUCAGAUGUGAAAUCCCCGGGCUUAACCUGGGAACUGCAUUUGAAACUGGCAGGCUUGAGUCUCGUAGAGGGGGGUAGAAUUCCAGGUGUA
rnacentral:rRNA from 1 species